rnacentral:tRNA from 1 species
CUCGGAUUAGCUCAGUCUAGUAGAGCGCUCGCUUUGGGAGCGAGAAGUCGAGGGAGCGAAGCCUUCAUCCGAGA